AGGACGAACGCUGGCGGCGUGCUUAACACAUGCAAGUCGAACGGAAAGGCCCUUUCGGGGGUACUCGAGUGGCGAACGGGUGAGUAACACGUGGGUGAUCUGCCCUGCACUUUGGGAUAAGCCUGGGAAACUGGGUCUAAUACCGAAUACACCUUGCUGGCUGCAUGGCCUGGUGGGGGAAAGCUUUUGCGGUGUGGGAUGGGCCCGCGGCCUAUCAGCUUGUUGGUGGGGUGAUGGCCUACCAAGGCGACGACGGGUAGCCGGCCUGAGAGGGUGUCCGGCCACACUGGGACUGAGAUACGGCCCAGACUCCUACGGGAGGCAGCAGUGGGGAAUAUUGCACAAUGGGCGCAAGCCUGAUGCAGCGACGCCGCGUGAGGGAUGACGGCCUUCGGGUUGUAAACCGUCUUUCAGUAUCGACGAAGCGCAAGUGACGGUAGGUACAGAAGAAGCACCGGCCAACUACGUGCCAGCAGCCGC
rnacentral:rRNA from 1 species